rnacentral:pre_miRNA from 1 species
GCAACAGGUUGUGCACUGCACAACUCCAAGGGGUGCCAGUCACAUUGCAGACUCUGUGAAUGGUGACCCCUUGAGUUGUGCAGUGUACAGUCUGUAC